AGCCUCCUGGUGCUUAUGAGGCUGUGUUCUUAUACUGUAUAGAAGAGGAGACAGAGUAAACUCAUCCAUAUACACCUCAGCCCAGGCACUUUGCCUGGUUUGCACUGUGAAUGGGGAACAUGG